rnacentral:sRNA from 1 species
GCCAGGUGUGGUGGUACACACCUGUAAUCCUAGCUACUCAGGAGGCUGAGGCAGGAGAAUCACUUGAACCCAGGUGGCAGAGGUUGCAGUGAGCCAAGAACACGCCACUGCACUUCAGCCUGGGCAAGAGAGCAAGACUCCAUCUCAGGAAAAAAAAAGAGACAGAGGGUCACUCUGUCGCCCAGGCUGGAGUGCAGUGGCACAAUUUCGGCUCACUGCAACCUCCGCCUCCCAGGUUCAAGCGAUCCUCCUGCCUCA